CGGUUCUCGUUAGAUCACCGAAGUCAAGCAUCAUUGGGCGCGGUCAGUACUUGGGUGGGUGACCACCUGGGAACACCGCGUGCCGUU